rnacentral:lncRNA from 1 species
CGGCGUAUUUCAGCACUCUUUCAUAUAAAACCAGAGCUUCACUCCACUUCUUGACCAGUACAUAGGACUGUGCAAUGAAGAAACACCUGUAAGCUUUGUACACAAGUGUCUUCAACCCAAUCUCUUUUUGGAAACUCUUGUCCUCCUCCAGGCCAGGAAGCUGUGUCAGUUCCACGAGGUUCUGUAAGAUGAUAUCGUAAAGACGGAUCAGGUCCUGAGGCCGCGGUGUGCGUUUGCCAUCCUCUUCUGAUCGCUGCUGCUGCAGCAGUGCCUUCUGCAGGGACUUGGCCAUGCUCUCAUUGCGCUUAAUGGCGGUGGACAACUUGAUGUAAGUCAAAUAACUGUGUAAGUACUGUAUGUUGGACACCUUCCCAGAAUCACCUUCCAGAGAGUGUUCCCGUUGCUUCUGGUCGGGUUUCAGGUCCUCCCGAACUGCCUGAAUGGCAUCUCUGCACUCACUGAGUAAAGACUCAAACAAACGUUCCCUUGUCUCCUCAUUUUCUGCCUGGACAAUAGCAGCUUCAUUGUCUGCCAGGCCCAGUAAGAAGAUCCUCACUUUGUCUAUCUUCACAGGAACAGUUCUUCCUCUCCACUCCACUUCACUCAUCGUGGCUGCCUGCUUUGCUCGAGUUUGGGUAAUCAGUGCCUCCAGUUUUUCUGCAAGAAGACCUUCAGUGCCACCAGACCUCAGCCUCAUCUGCAUCAACUCAUUCAUAGCCGACUGGUCACCAAUAUUAUAGGCACAGUAACGAA